UGCGGUAGCAGCAGCAGCAGCUCCUAGACGCCUGCAGGGGAGUUCCCAACUUUCCCGGCCGCUUUGCGAAUUCUCACCGAAGUUAUCCGGAGUUUGCCAGAUUAAUAUCACCUGAAGUACUUUAACAACAGAAACAACAAGAGCACCUGCAAGGACAACACAGAAUUAAAGUGACAAGAAUAUUAGCUUAAGAGGCAUUCUUCAUUUGAUUCAGGAUCAGCAUAUUCCAAAAUGAACUGAGAAGCAGUUGUUGGAUAUUUGAGACAUCAACUGAUGGAUAUGAAGGCCAACUAGAAAACUCAGAGAAAUACUGUCUGCAGGAGCAUGCUGAUUGUUCCACAGCUGGGCAGCAGUACUUCAUCAGCACACAGGAAUUAAAAGUAAGUGACAACACCUGAAUCUUCCUCUCCCUGCUGCUCAGCUUUGAAAGGAGAUCAGAUUAGGGGUGGCUGGUUUGUGGAGUCCUAGUGGGGUUGAAUAAAGCUAGUAACUGUUGAAACAGGAGGUUGGCUAAUAGUGGUGGUUAAAGCUAUCUUCUUCAGAAGAAUAAAGAUAUUCUCAUGAAUUUAGAGCAGUAUAAGUACUUUUUACAUUGGUUGGUGAAACUAGGGAAUUUUCUAAUAGAAAUAUCUGUGUAAAAACAGUGAGGGAAAAGAGGACAAAGGUAAGGCAUUGUGUUAUUUACAGCCUUUACCUCACCUGAAACUGAACAAAGCAUGCUCUUUACUCAGGUGAACUA
rnacentral:lncRNA from 1 species